UAACGCGAAGAACCUUACCAAGGCUUGACAUACACGAGAACGGGCCAGAAAUGGUCAACUCUUUGGACACUCGUGAACAGGUGGUGCAUGGUUGUCGUCAGCUCGUGUCGUGAGAUGUUGGGUUAAGUCCCGCAACGAGCGCAACCCUCGUCCUAUGUUGCCAGCGCGUAAUGGCGGGAACUCAUAGGAGACUGCCGGGGUCAACUCGGAGGAAGGUGGGGAUGACGUCAAAUCAUCAUGCCCCUUAUGUCUUGGGCUUCACGCAUGCUACAAUGGCCGGUACAAAGGGCUGCAAUACCGUAAGGUGGAGCGAAUCCCAAAAAGCCGGUCUCAGUUCGGAUUGAGGUCUGCAACUCGACCUCAUGAAGUCGGGGUCGCUAGUAAUCGCAGAUCAGCA
rnacentral:rRNA from 1 species